rnacentral:rRNA from 1 species
GAUGAACGCUAGCGGCAGGCCUAAUACAUGCAAGUCGAACGAGAUUAAGAGGCUUGCUUCUUAUGAAAGUGGCGCACGGGUGCGUAACGCGUAUGCAACCUACCUUAAUCAGGGGGAUAGCCCGAAGAAAUUCGGAUUAAGACCGCAUAAACACACAGGAUAGCAUUAUCCAAUGUUCAAAUAUUUAAAGGCUUAAGAUGGGCAUGCGUGUCAUUAGCUAGGUGGCGGGGUAACGGCCCACCAAGGCGACGAUGACUAGGGGAUCUGAGAGGAUGACCCCCCACACUGGUACUGAGACACGGACCAGACUCCUACGGGAGGCAGCAGUAAGGAAUAUUGGUCAAUGGAGGGAACUCUGAACCAGCCAUGCCGCGUGCAGGAAGACAGCCCUCUGGGUCGUAAACUGCUUUUAUUCGGGAAUAAACCUUUCUACGUGUAGGAAGCUGAAUGUACCGAAGGAAUAAGGAUCGGCUAACUCCGUG